UACGAAGGGGGCUAGCGUUGCUCGGAAUCACUGGGCGUAAAGGGUGCGUAGGCGGGUCUUUAAGUCAGGGGGGAAAUCCUGGAGCUCAACUCCAGAACUGCCUUUGAUACUGAAGAUCUUGAGUUCGGGAGAGGUGAGUGGAACUGCGAGUGUAGAGGUGAAAUUCGUAGAUAUUCGGAGGAACACCAGUGGCGAAGGCGGCUCACUGGUCCGGUACUGACGCUGAGGUGCGAAAGCGUGGGGAGCAAACAGG
rnacentral:rRNA from 1 species